UUUAAAAUCAGAAAGAUAAAGCAAUGCGGGAGUCUAAAACUUGUCAAAACCCGAUCCAAUAGCCAAAACAAGGCAAAUUCACUUUUUACAAUUGGGUUAAUCCACUAAUCUUUUUAAGAUCACAUAUGAAGACAUGAUGGAAAAGAAACACGAUAUUUUGACUGAUACUUUAUACACAAAAUCUCAUGUAAGGGAAACCGGUUUUUUAUGCUAGUGUGGGUCCCAUGAUCUUAUAAUUUGUGUAGAGGUGAAAAAACCGAGGAGAGUAGGAGUGCUAUAAAGCCAUAAAUAAAAUAUUAGAGUUUAUGAAACUAUUUAAAAAUAUAAACAAGUUGCAUAAAGUGCCCCAAAGUUUGUGUUAGUUUUCAUAAACACACUCAAAUGGUCAUACUUCAAGCAAUAGACAUGUUCAUUUUCAAAUUCACUAACUGAACUUUAUAUAACAGAAUAAUCACCUGCAUUUUAUUUUUAUUUAUUCUCAUAUAAGAAAAAAGGUAAGUCACUAGAACCCAAUAUAAUUAGACACGUGAAUUGUGAUUUAGAUUGAAGGGUUUUAUUGAAUACAUAUUGUUAUUAGGGUGUUUUAUGAAACUAUCUAUAACUUAGAGGUCUUUUGGAAAAUAUUAAUAAAUUAGAACGCCAUACCUCUAUUUCCUUAUCCCAACUUUUGGAGCUUAUCUAAAUUAAAAAAGAACCACUCGUGUCAGGUUGAUGACAUGGACCUCUUAUAAAAUGACACGUGUUCAUGAAUGCUUUGAUACGUGUGCUCAUCAACUCCAUAUCCACUCUGUUAGGUGUGAACACAUAUAGAUGCCUUUUGAUAAGGUUUCUUUUGUUUUAAUUUGGCCACAAAAAUUAUUAAUUUCUGGAUCUUUCAAUUUCCUUUUUAUUCCCAUGACAACUCUUUUUUUGUUUGUAUUUGUAGGUUGUAUAAUUUUUAAAAACCACUAAAAAUGUUUAUUUUAGAAAUCAAAACUUUAAAUAUACCAGUCAGGCCAAGAGUUUAAAAGGUUGAGGUUUUUUCCACUUAUAACCUUGUUGUCAUGUUUUCACACCAAAAGGUUGAGGUUUUUUCCAUUUAUAACAGCAUAUUAUGCAUAAGUCAUCCACUUUGAUGCAAUAUUUAAUCACAUAAUCCACUUUGAUGCAAUAUUUAAGGCUGAGAUAGGAUUUGACCCUCCUCCAUGACAGUAAUGAUGUUUUGCCCCUUGAUAGAACAAGAGCAAGGAAAUACAUGCACACUCUGAUAUGGGUUAUAUAUACCGGAUCACAAAUCUAAAAGGCGUUUCAAUAGUCCUUACAUCGUAUACGCAAACACCAAUUGACUUCAUCUCACACCCAAUAAGUACUCUAACUUCCCGAUACUGUGAAUUUAUUUAAGAUUGAAAGAAAUAAUGUUUCAAGAUGGAAGAUAUCAAGGCUUAAGGACUUGUUUAAUUUCCAUGGAAAUUCAUGAUAGACAACGAUUGUGCAAAAGGCUAUGCGAAACCUAAUUAAGAAAAAUUGGCCAAGAAUUGUUGAAAUGGCCUCAAAUGUAAUUCACAAAAUAAAAGAACGUUGUGAAUAUCUUUUUUGCUAGAUGGUUAUUUUGUGAUAGAUUUGAAAAAUAGGUCAUUCUACUAUAUCGACCCCUCCUAUUUUGGUAAUUUUAGUGAUUAUCAUCGUUCUUUCUUCACAAAAGAAAAAGCCUUUUUCACUUCCUUGUGAUAUGGUGGUGUUCUUGUGGACACUAUAAGAGGGCGUGGACAUUUAAGCCUAGAUUCAAGAACAAAAUUACAAACUUUGAAGCUGUUAUGUUACAAAUUUCUAACGAUCCGCUCCAAAACUUAAUUACAUGAGAGAAAGGAAAGGAAGCGGGAAGAUUUGGAAAAAUCAUUGCUCUUGAGUUAUUUAUUAUUGGAAAGAAGAAAAGAUAAAGGAAUGGAAGAUUCAUGUUAAUUUUUUCUACCAAUUGUCCUCCCAAAUCGGAAGUGAUCGGAGAGAAAGGAAAGGAAGAUCAAUUCAUUUCUUUCUUUUCUUUUAUUGUCUUUUAUUUUUCUUUCCUUUAAUGAAUUAGGAGUUUUAUCGGGUGAGGUACGAUUUUGGUUCCACCAGUUUUGUUUUUAUAUGUAAAUCGAAUUCUCCCACAUUAGAGUUAUCCGAUUACUUCCAUCCUAAGUUAUUAUCCAAAGCUAACAUUUACAUAUAUUUGGUUACUUAGAGAUUUUAGGAUUUUUGUUAGAGGUUUAUAAAUAUUGUCUUAGCUUUUUUGGAACCAUAGAAUAUUUUAUAAAACACUAACAAGGUGCUAGUGAGAAAAGAACAAAGUGCAAGGCCGUAAAAUACUAAUGAGGGGUUGUGCAAUAAACCAACUCAACUCAUGAUAUAGUUCUUUCACUUAUUACAAGUCCAUAAAAAUGAUUGCGGUACUAUAUCAUCAAAAAUAUUAACUUUAUAAGGUCUACCGGUUCCAAAGAGCAAGGACUUACGAAACUUCCAUACAACCCAAAAAAGAGGUGAUGAUAACCACAUCAUAACAUUAUGUGAUGCACCAAAUUAAGCUUCAUGAUAUCUGCCUAUUUUAUCUAAUCAACCACCAUAGCAUUAAAAAGGGCAACCAAAUUCCACCACCGCACAACAAGAACCCAAAUGUCUAGAAUAACGAAGCACAUAGAAAACAAAUGUGGGACAGUCUAUGUGACCUUUUCACAAAGCGGAAAAAGAGUAGAACCCAAGUGUAUUCCUUGGUCAUCUAAACUAGCACAUGUUAGAAUACGAUUUAUAAAUACCCUCCACAUGAAUAUAUUCAACUUAAUCGAGACUAGAUUAUUCCAUCUCGUUGAAUAAAUAUUUGUGGGAAUGCCUCGUCGAAGAGACUAAAUAAACCCUGUUAAAUCUAACAACCAUUGCAGAAUGUCAUUUUAAUGAAACAAUGUGUAUAACUUCAUCUUGGGUUAAAAUCUUUUGGAGUUACUGGCCUUUGUCCUUCAAACAAUGCAUGUAUGGAUUAAACGCGUGUUUAACUACCUACAAAUGAUCCAAAAUGUAUGGAAGGUACUACGUACUUCUAAAGGCUUUUGGUAAUAGGAGUUUUGAGAUAUUGAUAUCUUAUAACUCAUUUGUUGAAGAAAACCAUUUGAUCCAUAAUAACCCCUAUUAAAUCCAACAACCAUUGCAAAAUGUCAUUUUAAUCAAAAGUGUCAAUGGUUGAAUUAACCUUCAUCUUUACAAGACAAGAUGAGAGCAUUACUCGUUCAAGCCGACUAUCAUGAUGUACUAAAUGUUUUUGGAAGCAACAGACUUAGGGGGUAUUUGGGAGUGUUUUUUGAACUCUAAAAGUGCUUUUAGAUAGAAGUGUUUAUUUGCUUAUAGCGAUGAUAAAAGGAGUUUUAUAAAAAAGUAUUUGGGUAAGCUUUUAUAGUAAAAAAGUCAAUAAGUCAAUAAGUAAUGUUUGGUUUAAAAAAUGUUUUUUGAAAUUAUUUUGGUUGAAAAGCUAUAAACAGUUUCAAAAAGUCACUUUUUACAUGCUUAUUAAAAAGUGUUUUUUGAAACUUAUGGAAAAGCUAUUCUAAAAAGUGUUUUUGAGUUUGUCAAACACUUUUUUUUACUUGUUAGCUUUUGAAAAAGCCAAUAAGCAAAUAAGCAAUUUUAAAAUGCAAUCCCAAACACCCCUAAAUAAAAGAUCUGGAUAUUUGACAUCAUCCAUAAUGUGUAUGAUUUCAUCUUGGGUUGAACUCCUUUGGAGAUACUACCCAUUGCCCUUCCAAUUAUUGUUGUUGCAUGUAUGGGAUCAAGCACAUCUUCAACCACCUUCAUAUGAUCCAAAAUGUUUGGAAGUUACUACGUAUUUUUAUAGGCUUUUGGUAAUGGGAGUUUUAAGAUAUUGAUAUCCUAUCAAUCAUUUGUCGAAGAAACUCAUUUAGAGUUUCGAGCUUUUUCUUCGUUUUGGUUUUCAAAUUAUCGUAUAUAUUUACUUUUGUACUGAUCAUUCAUUCACCCUUCAUAUAUAUUUAAGACUUCUUUAAUAUCAGUAAGAAAGAGUUUAACUAAACGUUGAUCUCAACCUCAAAAAAUGAGAGCAAUACCGGAUACCGCUGGACUAGAAGCCUUUUGGUAAGUAAACGUUGAAUAAAUUUAAAAAUUGUUCGGCUUGUUCAAGCAUUUAAUAUCGUAAGACAUUUUUGUAUAUUUGAUAUUGUAAGGUAUUUUAAUGGCUAGACGAUUAUUUUGUCGAAAGACGUUUAGCAUUCACAACAUCGUGUUUUAUGGUAUUACUUUUUUAAUAUCACAUCUCUAAUUUUGGAUUCAAUUAGUCGAGUCGGUAUCUUGUGGUAUUUUACUACAAGUUUCCACGUAAAUUUGUGUAUUUUUAUUAUAGUUGAUAUUUAUAACAUGUUUACUUUGUAUUUCAUGUGGAAGAUUUUGAUUAUAUUUUUACUUUUUUCUAUUUGUUUAGUGCUCCCAAAAUCCAAUAAAUAAAUAAAUAAUAGUGCGUUUAAGCCUCCCAAAAUCCAAUAAAUAAAUAAAUAAUAGUGCGUUUAAGCCGGACACUAUAAGUGGCUCACGUCUUAAAAUUGUAGUCACUAUCUAAUGACAUCUAACAUAGUCAAAAUAGGUUGGUAUGCUGUAAUGAAUUUAAAUACGCUAAUAAUAUAUCACGUAGACUAUAUGUUUGUUGAUUUAUUUCUUUGUAUUUAGUAAAAAAAAUGUCACAAAAGUCUAAUUUGAUUAAGAUUUUUGACAUUUAAAGUCAAUGAACAAAUAUAUAUUUUAAGAAAAUCGAAAUGACACUGUAUUACCUGAUUUGAGAUUAUCUUCAAGGCCUUUCGCAUAACAAUAUCAAACUUCAUAAGUGAAAUGUUGUGUUGUCAGGCUCUGCACGCAAACAAAAGGGGUUAAAGCAUCUUGUGCCAUAUGUCGGCCCAAGAAAACCCCAAAAAUCAAAUUAGUUAUUAAAAAAAAUGGUAUAACAAGUGAAUUGAUAAUUUGUCAAGAGCUAUUUCAUACCAUAUGAUCAAGGAGUUGACCAUGAAUGAAUCACAUGGAACUAAACCUUCGUGAUCAAAAUGCCAUGUUGAGGUUGAGGCUAGUGUAAAAGACAGAUAAUUGAAUAGCAGCUUCCAACUUCCACCGUAUAACAUCAAGCCAAGUAGGGCAAUAUUUAACAUUUCAUACACAACCAUUCAUUAUGAGUUAUGACAUGGUAUAAAAUCAUCAUUUUGUUUUGGAAAAUCCGGUUUAAAAAUUACGUAGUACAACAGUCACAUUUAAUAUUUUAUCUAAAUGAAAGCCCAUCAGAGUUGCUAUUCGGCUUUUCAUUUGGAUAAAAUGUAAGCCCAAUCAAUUCCAUGUGUGAUGUGUCAAACAUAAAGAAGAAAAUCAACCCACCACAUUUACAAUCCAACUCCAAGUAUCAAAUAGAUUGCAAAAGAACAAGAUUACAUGUAAAAGUAACAACUUACAUAUUACAUAACACGUGACCCAUAAAGUAUAUAGGCUUUCGCUUUACAGACCCGAACCUGAAACACAGUAACUCAGCACAUCGAAGUGUGCUCUUAUUCUAAGUUCCAGGCUCCUUAAAGUACACGAAAAUAUUACAUAAUAAAAAGAUAGUACACAACAACAUUGACACCAUUUGUGCAACAAACUUAAGAGACAGACCUUGACCUUGACAUUGACCCGUUGACCACACUCAAACAAUCGUCCCAAAACGUUUAUGUUCAAUAACUGGGCCGCACACUGAGCCUUGAGGCUAUCUUCUGGCCCAAAGACUGGUCAGCCUGCAAAAAAAUCACCCAAAAAUUAAAAUUACAACCAAACAAGAUUAAAAAGGGGGACAUUGUUACAUGAAUAUUAGAACAUACCUGGGUCCAGUAAGAGAUCCAAAUGCUGCGGAGCUCAUGGGUGACCCGUGGGUCGGACAACAUCUUAACCAUUCGGUGAAUGAAUCGUUCUUGCCUAUAAAUAAAAUUAACAGUUUAUAAAAUUGAUGGAAUCUUGAAACAAUUAUAGAAAAAACAAAUGAGAUAUAAUAAUAAUUAAUAACUACCUGUCAGGUUCCCAGGAUCUGUAUCUCUCUCCUGGCUGCUUGAAAUCGUUAAAUUUUGGGAUCACAGUCUGCAUCGAAAAGAAACCAUAGUUAUUUACUUUUGUGUUUUUUCUUUCUAAUGCUCGUAUUUGAUAAAACUGAGUCAUAGAAGAAACCAAGGAAACAAGAAACUAACCCUUUCACGGGUUCCAGUAACCCUAGCAGAAUUGAUCGGGUAUUUCUGAGCAUGUUGAACACGAUCAUACCUCGAAGGGAAGUAAUCAACCUGGAAGAAAUCCAUCGCAUGUAUUUUAGAAAGUUUUGAUUUUGGUUAUAUCUUUUUCUUAUAAUGAAACCCACAAAUUUUUAUGAACUAAUUAAAGAUAACAAAAUGAAAAGAUAACCCACCUCUUCAUCUCUAUGCAUGAAGUUCAUAUUUCCAUCAUAAUGAUUGUUAUGAUGAGCACAUUUGGGGGCGUUGACCGGAAGUUGAAGAUAAUUCGGUCCAAGACGAUGCCUUUGAGUAUCGGAAUACGCAAAGAUUCUCCCUUGAAGCAUCUUAUCAUCGGAAUAGUAGAUUCCGGGGACAACAAGUCCGGGAUUGAACGCCAAUUGUUCAUUCUCAGCAAAGAAGUUAUCAAUGUUCUUGUUCAAAACCAUACGCCCAACCGGCUGCAAAGGUACCACAUCUUCCGGCCAUACCAUCGUUCCAUCAAGUGGGUCAAAGUCAAGCCUGUCUUCAUGAUCCGGGUCAAUAA